rnacentral:rRNA from 1 species
GUAAGCGAAGAACCUUACCAAGGCUUGAAAUCCCGAUAGCAGUUCAUCGAAAGAAGAACCUCAUUUAGUUGGAUCGGUGACAGGUGAUGCAUGGCCGUCGUCAGCUCGUGUCGUGAGAUGUAUGGUUAAGUCCAUUAACGAGCGCAACCCUUAUGUUUAGUUGGAUUUUUCUAAACAGACUGCCCUGGCAACAGGGAGGAGGGAGGGGAUGACGUCAGGUCAGUAUUUCCCUUACGUCUUGGGCUACAAACACGCUACAAUGGCCGGUACAAAGGGCAGCAAACCCGCGAGGGGGAGCAAAUCUCAUCAAAACCGGUCUCAGUUCGGAUUGCAGGCUGAAACUCGCCUGCAUGAAGCUGGAAUCGCUAGUAACGGUAGGUCAGCACACUACCGUGAAUACGUUCCCGGGUCUUGUACACACCGCCCGUCAAACCAUGAAAGUGGCCAACACCCAAAGUCUGAGCUUGCCUCAG